UACGUAGGUGGCAAGCGUUGUCCGGAUUUAUUGGGUUUAAAGGGUGCGUAGGCGGUUCUAUAAGUCAGUGGUGAAAUCCGGCAGCUCAACUGUCGAUGUGCCAUUGAUACUGCAGAACUUGAGUACAGACGAGGUAGGCGGAAUUGACGGUGUAGCGGUGAAAUGCUUAGAUAUCGGGAGGAACAUCAGUGGCGAAGGCGGCCAUCUGGGACAACACUGACGCUGAAGCACGAAAGCGUGGGGAGCAAACAGG
rnacentral:rRNA from 1 species